rnacentral:rRNA from 1 species
CCAGCAGCCGCGGUAAUUCCAGCUCCAAUAGUGUAUAUUAAAGUUGUUGCAGUUAAAAAGCUCGUAGUUGAACUUCUGGCAGUGUGCAGUUUUGGUCUUGAUCAGGCUGCAUUGCUGUCAUCCGUCUGCAAACCUCGUACAACCUUUAGUGGCUUGGCGAGGGGAGUAGACAUUUUACUUUGAAAAAAUUAGAGUGUUUCAAGCAGGUUAUUGCCAGAAUACUUUAGCAUGGAAUAAUGGAAUAGGACUCUUGUCCAUUUGGUUGGUUAUUGGACCAGAGUAAUGAUUAACAGGGACAGUUGGGGGCAUUAGUAUUUAAUUGUCAGAGGUGAAAUUCAUGGAUU